UACUCAUUAGUCAUAAUUGAUAAUCACUUUGAAAGUGGGAGGUAGUAGUAAUAAUACUAUGAGUUA
rnacentral:tRNA from 1 species